rnacentral:lncRNA from 1 species
GGGGAAGGGAGAGAAAAACAGAGUCAUGGAGAGAGGAGACCAAUGAGGAGAGUAAAGGACAAUUAUUAGUCUUAACUUCCAAUGAAGCAAGUAGGUCAGUUGCCAGCUGCCGUGUGAGUCUGCUCACCCAGAAGCCUGCUCAAUGUGGCAGUACAAGAAAAGAGAAGAGGCCAUGUCUGAGACACACAUUGUGAAACCUGCACUGGUGAUGGGACCCUCUAAUUUGGUCAGACGGUAUGGCAACAUAAGUCAGUCCAGCUUUUGGCUGACACAAACAAGGAGUUACGCUCAAGUGCGCUGGAGCGUUCCCAUGAGCUGCCUGUUUUUGGUUUUAAUAAGGCUCCAUCUCUCGAGGUGUAUUAACGGUAAAUCAUUUUUGCUAAUUUAAAAACUAGGAAACAAAUGGAAACCUUGAGGUUUUUCCCCACAACAUGGCUACUUCUAAUAUCAAGAUUGCCAGAGAGGUUUAGGGGAUGGGACCAUGGCUGUGAGAAGGAAUCGAAAAAGUGUUUUGAGGUGGGGAAGUAUUUUAAUAAGUGGAUUAAUCUCUGUGGUUGCACAGCCGAAGAAACCGGGCCAGUGACUUCAAGGUAGAAGUCCUCAGAAACUUCCUAGUCAAGUCUCUCUUUAAAACAGAAGAAGAAAGCGAGGCUAUGAGAUAACAUGGGCACCUGCCUAAAAAGUAUGCCUACUGCAUACUACAUGGGAGGUUGCUGACUGUUCCCAAGGGGUACUUGAAUUGUCUGCAUGUAUUUCAUGUUUGUUUGUUUUGCUGGUAGGAGUACUAAAAAGUUAUAGAGGCUCUUGGCGGAGGGGGGGGGUGUCUUCUCCUCUUGUAAUGUUGGCCAUAAUAUUCUGUUCUCUAACCAAAAUUGCUUUAUAUGACUUCCCUUCCUUUCCAUCAACUUUACACAGCUUAUUUACAGGGCCAAUCGCAGCCCAACAUAAUUUUAUCUAAUGUCUCCCUUCAAACUAGAGAAGCUAA